AUAAUAGCACAUAUAGAAAGGAAAAUCGUUAGAUAGCGCGUUGGACUUCUAAUCCAACGGAAGUGGGCUCGAAUCCCACCUGGGAUG